UGCUCAAGCUGGUGCCUUUGCUGCAUCCUGUGGAAGAGAUGAGUGUGAUAUUCUCACAUGGUGAAGUAUCUUCCACUUGGCCAGGGAGGCAACUACUGCCUAAGCCUUCCUUAUAAAAGCAUUAAUUCCACUGAUAGGGGAGAAGUCAGAUCAUUUCACGGCCUUAUUAUCUCUUAAAAGCCCCACCUCUUCCCACAAUAACACCAGCCUCUAACUUUUAAGACUUGAAUUUUGGAGGGGAUACAUUCAAACUAUAGCAAAAUCUAAAAGUCAAAUUCAUAUUUUUAAAAAAACCUUAAAUCUGCUCCCCGAGCAAAACUUUCAAAAGGAGCUCUGUUUCAUAAGAGUGACAGUGAAGGAAAGACAAGAUAGGAAUAAAGAAAUCUUCAAUAUACACAAGACAAAUUUUUUUUUAAAAGGCACUAUUAAUUCAGCUGUGUGGACUAGGGUGGCAUACAGGAGAGGGCGCACCAACAUUAAACAGCUAGAUUGCAAAGUUCACACUUCCAAAGGAACACUUACAAGGAUUUUGUUAUAUUCUGAUUUCUAAAAAAAUCUUUCUGUCUUUAAUCUAUGCAGAUAAAUUUCCCAGCUACCCAGAGAGCCAGCACCAGCUACCUGAUAAAUGGGGGUUUUUCUAUUCUUAUCAGAAUUAUGGUCAUCCACAAGAAUAUAAGGGAAAACCAACUUGUAGCUAAAGGGCUGUGCCUGUUAGUUUUUUAUAUAAUUUGCACUUCAUUCCUGUCUAAAAUUUUGGGCCUUUUCCUCACUAAUGAAGUGUCUUUCAAUUUGCUGUGAUUGAACUACCUAAUAUCUGCUCAACUCUGUUUAAACUGAUUGCUACUAUCAUGAGAAAAUUGUGCAAUUUAGCUGCAAUUUGAUUCCAAAGCUUUUUGUUAAAUGAUACAGGAAGUUCAAAUUAAGUAGGAAUUGAAUUAACUGGAGUAAACUACAUAGUUUAUUAAAAUUCAUGGUGAAUUUCAAAUAAUUUCUAUGAAUUGAAAAAGCUCCUUAUGAAAUAUGUAUCUCCAAUCUAACCUUGGAUAGUUUCUCCUUAGAAUACUCUUUCCCAAUGAAUAAUUCAGGCAAAAUAUUAACAGGAUUCAUUUUUGUAAUACAUAAAGAAUAUGUAGACUCCCAACAAUAGCCUUUGUCAGGUCAGCUCCUAUAAGGCCAUACAGGGAAUUUUAGGUCAGUUGCAACAAGUGCACAGAGCAAAGUAUUACUAACAAUGAUAUCCACAAGAUAAGACAAACAGGAUAGCUCAAUCAAGACAAAAAGGUUUCAGUGACCACAGAGGAACCGGGUUCAUCCCUGGGCCUCUCCCAUGGAAGUCACAAAGCCCCUGAAAUUAGUUCUUCAUGCCUCUCACACACAGAAAGAUACACACAUAUAUAAUACAAGAAGAAAGAUAUAAUCAGUCUGAAGUUGAUAACUCUUCCCCUUCUUUCACCAACAGCUUGAAUUUUUUCCAUAUAAAUCAACUAAAAAGUCUUCAUGGAUUCACAAGAUACCUUGCUCUCUGAUCUCUCAUACUAAGUCUACUAAUGUCCCUGGAAUGUAUAUUAUUCCCUAAAAAGCUCUGGCAAGAAUCUUGGAAUCACUGGCUUCAAACAAAUGUGACAGUGUUGACAAUCUUUAACGACCACAGGUUCCAUUUCCUCCUGUUGGGUGCUAUAGUUUGGUAAGUUUGUCCCCAACAGAAAUCACACAGAGGGCUGGUCCCCAGUGUGACCAGAUUAAGAGAUAUUGGGGCUUGAAGAGGUGAUUAGGUCAGUAAGAGGGAAUGAAUGCUUUUCUCCAGGGAUGCAGUCCUUGCUAUCUCAAGACUGGCUUAGUUAUGGUAAGAGCAUGACACCAUGAACCCAGCCCUAGCCCUUUCUCUCAUACAUGUGCUCCUCUCCUACCAUACCUCUUCUCCUUCUGCUUCUUGCCAUGAGCUGAAGCCUCACAAGACUCAUCAGAAGCCAGACAGAUGCCAGUGCCAUACCCUUGGACUUCCAGCCUCUAUACCAACAGAAAACAGUGCAUGGAGAAAGCUUCCAGAGGAAAGGAGGAAACAAGUAGUCUGACUUUCUCUGGCUUCCCUAGGAUCAGCAUCCAAACAAGCCACACUUGACUGAAGGAAGAUGAACCAGCUCACCAUGCUCAACAUUGACUACACAAGCCAGCUCACCAAGAGAUCCUGGCCAGUGGAGUGGGGUUAUAUCUCCCCUAACGUAUUGUAAGAUUGUGAAGCCUGAAAACAUCCUUACUUGAAAAUUCUGUUAACCCUCCUUAGCACCAAACACAGUUUAAAAUGAACUGUUUCAUAAAGACUGAAAUAAAUGCAUAAAUUAAAACUUGAAUAUGACUUUAUCAGAAUCACCAGAGUUUGUUCUGUGUAUUCAGUUUUGUAGAUAUUCCUACUGACAACAACUGCCUUCAAUCAACAAGCUGAAUGUAUACUGACUCCCUAUCACCAACAUGUGGUGUCACAGCAGUUUGUGAGAGAGGAAUUCAACACUGAUACAUCAUGCCAUACUAUAAUUAGUGUUGUGAAUGUACAUGGAAUACUCAUACACUCCCUUCUACUCCCUCUGUUCCAGUAAUUAUAAUUAUGCAGUCUGAAAAAGGAAAAUUAUAUUAGAAAUAUUCCCAAGGACCUCAAGCAUAAGAUAAUUAGAGGACUAAGAAAAGAAAAUGAACUCAAUCUUGCUUUACUCCACUGGGACCCAGCAAGGCUGAUGGGAGUUAGGAGAAUAAGAUUUUGGAAACUAGAGCCUCUCACUCCUUAUCUGAAUCUGAAAAUGAAAUUGAUUAAAAUUUGAAAAUACCAUCCCUUUUUGUUUGUUUGUUUUUGGUACAGGGCAUCGAACUUGGGCAGGCGCUGGCACCACUGAGCUAAAUCCCCAGCCCUACCAUCCCUUUUUAUAUAGCUGAGUUUGGGAGGGAAGCAGGAGGCACAGGAAAGAAUGAGGAGGGUGAGAAGCUAGGAAUGACAUUGCAAAUCUAACAGAUUUCAGACCACUGUCCUGUGACUGGGGAGGUUAUAGUUCCCUAGAGCAAAUCACCUAUGUGUCCUUCACCACUUUCUCCUGUCCCCACCAAAAGAAGGACAGCAGGAGAGGUGGAUUUGCAGCAUGAGGAGCUGGGAGAGCCAGAGCAGCAGAUGGAGCAGGAGGUAGAGGUGGCCAGAUCUAGGACAAGGAUAGAAACUAGAUGGCCAAAACAGGGAAGGCUCUAGAAGGAAGAGAUGGAUUUGAAGGUCAAGAAUAAAACACAAGCGGUAUGGAAAGAACGGAUUAUAGCACAGAGCCCAUGAGGGCCCACCAGCAAAAUAAGAGAGUGGAAUAAAUAAUGAAACAGAAUACAAAGAGCCAAGAACUCUCUAGAAGGAAAAAGGAAGCAAAGGAAGCAAAAGAAUCGAUCGUCACACUAAUUACACAGAAGAAGCUCAACACCUAAGACACUUAGAUUUACACUCAGAAGGAAUAAGAAGGUAAUUCAUAACACCAAAUAGAUUUUACACAUUCAUAUGGAUGGAGAAAUCUGGAAAAGUCACCUACACUUACUUUCCUUGUUUCCAGAUGAAAUUAGAGCCUGCACGCUUUUGCCUCGAAGUUUGACCAUUCACUCCUCAGCCAAGUCUUCCACAUCAUAUUCCCUGCCUCUAUGGGGGAAAUGAAAGAAAUAUUAGCCGUCAUUGCUCUGUAAUUCCAACUUCAUAGCAUCCUGGAUGCAGAGGAGCACAGAGAGGCAAUAGAGUGGAAAAGAAGGAACCCCGAAGCCUCAGAGGAAAGCCACAACGUGCAUCAAUCACGUCUCAAUACUGUGGUCACACUCUGAUCCAAGGACAUGCAAUCUGGGCCAUGGAGCAGGGCAGCAGAUGAUGCAAAAAAAGGUUACAGGUUAAAGCUGAGAUGGAAGUCACUUCUAAACAACCCAUGGACUGUUUAGCCAAAGACAUGGAUAGGGAGUAUACUUCUGGAAAGGGGCCGAGAGGUUUCCAGUUUAAGUUCCGACAGGACCCCAGGGCUACUUAAAAGCUAGACCACCCUCAAAAAAGAUCCACACAGGAAUAUGCACUUUGUUUUAGCAAUGAUGGUGAGAGGAAGAUUGGAAAGCUGCUCAGCUCUAGGGAAUCCUUAUGUCUCUGCCUGCACUUCUCUCCAAAUCUAACAUACUAGCUAAGGAGAAGGUUUCCCUGUCCUAUAGGGGGCUUCUGCAGGUUCCGCAGAACACAGGAAUGGCUAGGAAGAUGCCUGCAGCAGGGUAACCACUGCAGAGAGGUGGGUGACAGCAGCACAUCCCGAGCAACUGUGUAUACAUACACAGCUAUUCUUUCCUUCUCAUUCCUAUAACCUUUCCAAAUGGUAUUUGCUUAAGAUCUAUCUUUUUGAUGGUUUUUAAUUCAUACAGUGCACAACUAUAAUUAAAAUCCAUUAUGCUCAUUCAAGCUGCUUCUUCAGUUCUUGCCUAGAGAAAAUGAAAGCCAGUGGGGACCUGAAAGUAGUCCCAAAGGAGUAAUCAGGGUCCAAAAAGAACCCUGACCAAUGACCCAGUACUUCCUAAAGGAAUGGUAGAAAUACAAGUUGAAAUAAGAAGGAGAAAUUAUUUUCCAUGACUCUUAAUAUCCAGGGUUAGACUAUGCUGAUAGAAACAUUAUAUAGUUUUAGAUAAGUAAGUGGUUGCUAUAGAGGUCUGGAAAGAAACCUGGCAGCAUCUACUAAACUCACAAACUUUGAGCAGUCUUACUUUUAUGAGACUAUCCUACAAAUAAGAUAGAUAGAUAUAUUUCCAAAAUUGCUAUAUAGAUUCCAUGGAAUCCCACCUGAAAUCUCAGCAGCAUACUUCAUGGACCUUGAGAAAACAAUCCAAAAAUUCAUUUGGAACAA